rnacentral:rRNA from 1 species
UUGGAGGGCAAGUCUGGUGCCAGCAGCCGCGGUAAUUCCAGCUCCAAUAGCGUAUAUUAAAGUUGUUGCAGUUAAAAAGCUCGUAGUUGAAUUUCGGGGUUAGCAGGUCGGUCGUGCCAUCGGUAUGAACUGGUCUCGCUGAUCCCUCCCUCUUGAAGAACUGUGAUGCCAUUAAUUUGGUGUCGCAGGGAAUCAGGACUGUUACUUUGAAAAAAUUAGAGUGUUUAAAGCAGGCUCACGCUUGAAUACAUUAGCAUGGAAUAAUGAAAUAGGACGUUUGAUCCUAUUUUGUUGGUUUCUAGGAUUGACGUAAUGAUUAAUAGGGAUAGUUGGGGGCAUUAGUAUUCAAUUGUCAGAGGCGAAAUUCUUGGAUUUAUUGAAGACUAACUACUGCGAAAGCAUUUGCCAAGGAUGUUUUCAUUAAUCAAGAACGAAAGUUAGGGGAUCGAAGACGAUCAGAUACCGUCGUAGUCUUAACCAUAAACUAUGCCGACUAGGGAUCGGAUGAUGUUAAUUUUUUAAUGACUCAUUCGGCGCCUUACGGGAAAC